UACGGGGGGGGCAAGCGUUGUUCGGAAUUACUGGGCGUAAAGGGCGCGUAGGCGGCCUUCUAAGUCGAACGUGAAAUCCCCGGGCUCAACCCGGGAACUGCGUCCGAUACUGGAAGGCUUGAAUCCAGGAGAGGGAUGCGGAAUUCCAGGUGUAGCGGUGAAAUGCGUAGAUAUGUGGAGGAAUACCGAUGGCGAAGGCAGCCCCCUGGGAUAACACUGACGCUCAUGCACGAAAGCGUGGGGAGCAAACAGG
rnacentral:rRNA from 1 species